UGCAUAUCAAUAAGCGGAGGAAAAGAAACCAACAGGGAUUGCUCUAGUAACGGCGAGUGAAGCAGCAAUAGCUCAAAUUUGAAAUCUGGCGUCUUCGACGUCCGAGUUGUAAUUUGUAGAGGAUGCUUCUGAGUAACCACCGACCUAAGUUCCUUGGAACAGGACGUCAUAGAGGGUGAGAAUCCCGUAUGCGGUCGGAAAGGUGCUCUAUACGUAGCUCCUUCGACGAGUCGAGUUGUUUGGGAAUGCAGCUCUAAAUGGGAGGUAAAUUUCUUCUAAAGCUAAAUAUUGGCCAGAGACCGAUAGCGCACAAGUAGAGUGAUCGAAAGAUGAAAAGCACUUUGGAAAGAGAGUUAAAAAGCACGUGAAAUUGUUAAAAGGGAAGGGAUUGCAACCAGACUUGCUCGCGGUGUUCCGCCGGUCUUCUGACCGGUCUACUCGCCGCGUUGCAGGCCAGCAUCGUCUGGUGCCGCUGGAUAAGACUUGAGGAAUGUAGCUCCCUCGGGAGUGUUAUAGCCUCUUGUGAUGCAGCGAGCGCCGGGCGAGGUCCGCGCUUCGGCUAGGAUGCUGGCGUAAUGGUCGUAAUCCGCCCGUCUUGAAACACGGACCAAGGAGUCUAACAUCUAUGCGAGUGUUCGGGUGUCAAACCCCUACGCGUAAUGAAAGUGAACGGAGGUGAGAACCGCAAGGUGCAUCAUCGACCGAUCCUGAUGUCUUCGGAUGGAUUUGAGUAAGAGCAUAGCUGUUGGGACCCGAAAGAUGGUGAACUAUGCCUGAAUAGGGUGAAGCCAGAGGAAACUCUGGUGGAGGCUCGCAGCGGUUCUGACGUGCAAAUCGAUCGUCAAAUUUGGGUAUAGGGGCGAAAGACUAAUCGAACCAUCUAGUAGCUGGUUCCUGCGA
rnacentral:rRNA from 1 species